GGCGCGGCGCGGCUCGGCCUGGCUCCCGGCGGCCCCCCCCGCCCCACAAGUACAUUCAAGCAUAUAUACACCGGCAGCUUAGCCCGCCUAGCCAAUCACCGCACUGUGCUCAUGCACCUCCCGCGUGAGUGGACCUAAAUGAACAGCCAAUCAUAUUCAGUCCCUUACAGCUCUUAUAGUAGGCCUCCUGUACUGGCUCCUGACAGGGAUUCAGACUCCGUGGCAUUCAU